GUUUAUUCUGCUGCUCUGGACUGGAUCCCACGGUAGGUGGCGGUAGUGAACCAAUAAAUAGUUGGAUUGCUCGCCAGAAACCCAACCAGGCAGGCCGACUGUUGUUACCAUGCAACGAGCAGACGCUUGUGAAAAGUACUAGCUACAAAAUUGUCUCAAUUGCUUGCUGCGCGUGUGUGUGUGUGUGUAUGUUGCUAAUCUAGCUAGUUAGCAAGCCAUCAAUAAAGUUCCUAAAGUUACAACUUGGUAGACGGCUGGAGCACCGACACCGGAGAGUCUGCCUGUCGUUCCCGAGAUGCUGUCAAAAACCUUACAAUUAAGAUCCAUAUUCAGAGAUUCACCUCCACAGCAGCCCUCUCCCAACACCUUCAGCAGCAGGUUUUGACUCAACAGGAGAGGAGAGGCAUUGAGCUGGACACCCUCAUCUCACCGGCUCAAUCAGCUGUAGAUGAUGAGGAGGAGUUGGUGGUAGGCUGGCAGGAGAAGCUGUUCAGUCAGUGGUUUUGUUCCAGAGUGAGUCAGUAUACCAGACUCCACUGGAGAGACAGUACCACACAGAGAUCAUGGCUCUGGAGCGGACCAGGGGCAGACGGAACCGCAGGAUUUUCACCUACACCGAUUCUGACUGCUACACCAAUUGGGAAGGGGAUUCCCAGAGUAUGGUGACGCAGGUCAAGUCCAACCCUACCUUCCUGGCACAUAGGAUGGCCAAUGUCAGACACAGACGACAGGACAGACAGCCAGUUGACAGCACCUUCCCCAAGUCCAGGCUGAUUACCUGGGAGCCCUCGGAGGACUUUGUGAAGACCAGCCACGUGGUCAACACACCUGUACAGACCAUGCGCAUCAUGGGUGACCUGGGACCACCGGGCAAACUUGGCCAAAAGGAGAAGGAAUGCUUGUUGUGCAUGAUAAGAGCAGAUGGAUAUGGAGUGAUUACCAUCAAACCAGACUUCAACAGUUGUUUCAUCAGCAAAGGCAAGCCUGGGAAAGAACUGAAAAAACACACUAAAGAGUCAAGACAGACACCAGAAAGAGGCCCAAGAAGACUUGGACGCAGGAUCAGAGGACAGCGAGGGAUGUUCAGAACUCACUCGGAUUGGAGAAUGACUUCUCAACCCAAGAGGCCCAAGAGCAGCUGUGAGAAAGCAUCAGUUUGGAAGCAUUUGGGAAAAUGUAAAGUGCUAAAGAAGGUUCCCGGCAAAGAGGAUUGCCUGUUUUGGGUCAGAGCCAGCUCUCAAAAACAGAACAUGGAAAGACAUAAAAACCUGGUGCACAACACAAUGCAAACAGAAAAGACUCUCCGCAGCCAGUAAAAGGCUAGCAUGCCACAAAGCUGAAGUUCACACAGGUGAAUGGGAGAGUUGUAAAAGACAUAGCUCCAAAAUACAGGUCCUAGUUGAGCUCGUGAGCUAGUUCUGCUCUUUUUUGCAUUUUUUUGGUUUUGUGGUGCAAACUUUAGUGUGUCGAGCAUAACACGUCAACCCCGUUACCAAUAGAUAAAAAGGCUAGACAUUUUUUAGCAAUUUCAUUUUUUGUCUGAAACUUCCAAUUCAAAAGCUUCCGUUCCCCUUGUUACAAGGGAUUUAUGCAUGAUUUAAUAUGAAACCCUGCCUCCCGAGUGGCACAGUGGACUUAGGCGCUGCAUCGCAGUUGCUAGCUGUGCCGCUAUAGAUCCUGGUUCGGCUGCGACCCGGAGACCCAUGGGUUGGUGCACAAUUGUCCCAGCGUCGUCCUGGUUAGGGGAGGGUUUGUCCGGCAGGGAUGUCCUUGUCCCAUUGCGCUCUAGCAACUCCUGUGGCAGGCCGGGCGCAUGCAUGCUGACACGGUCGCCAGGUGUAUGGUGUUUCCUCCGACACAUUGGUGUGGCUGGCUUCCGGGUUAAGCGGGCAUUGUGUCAGGAAGCAGUCUAGCUUGGCAGGGUCGUGUUUCAGAGGACCCAUGGCUCUCUACCUUCGCCUCUCCCGACUCCGUAGGGGAGUUGCAGAGAUGAGACAAGACUGUAACUACCAAUUGGAUACCACGAAAAUUGGGGAGAUAAAGGGGUUAAGAUAUAUAAUAUAUAAAAUGAAACCCUGUUAUACUUUAUUUGGCACUUAAUAGGCACUUAUUGUAGUCAUUUUUUAAAUUUAAUCUCUUCAGAUGGGAAACCGUUUUAUUUUAAUUUUUAUUCAUUUGAAUAUGGUCUUUAUAACCUUUAUAAUCUUCGUUGCAAUAGGCCCAUAAAAUAAUAUCAGCUUUUAUGAUGCUGGUAAAGAUAGUACCUUACUGCGCAGUAUAGCCUAUAGGUUAUACACUGAGCGUACAAAAUAAUAAGGACACCUUCCUAAUAUUUAGUUAGCCCCCCACCCCCUUUUGUUCUCAGAACAGCUUCAAUUUAUCGGGGCAUGGAUUCUACAAGGUGUUGAAAGCGUUCCACAGGGAUGCAGGUCCAGGUUGAAGCCAAUGCUUCCCACAGUUGUCAAGUUGGCUGGAUGUCCUUUGGUUGGUGGAACAUGAGCGUGGAAAAACCCAUCAGUGUUGCAGUUCUUGACACAAACCGGUGUGCCUGGCACCUACUACCAUACUCCGUUCAAAGGUACUUAAAUCUUUUGUCUUGCCUGUUCACCCUCUGAAUGGCACACAUACACUAUCCAUGUCUCAAUUGUCUCCAGGCUUAAAAAUCAUUCUUUAACCUGUCCUGUCCCCUUCAUCUACAAGUGAUCCGGCAUCACUAGCUUGCAUGUUCUGCAGCCUUGUAAAGAUAGGGAGAGGAUGACUGGGAUGCAGUUUGGCAUUUAUUGUCAUGAAUCUUGCCCUGGCGGCAGUUCUGCAAAGUGGUCACAAGCUGGCACAGGCAUAAAGAAUAAUAUCAGAUUUUUUACCUAACCCUAACCACACUGCUAAUCCUUACCUUAAAUUAAGUCCAUAAAACACAAUUAUUUUCCACAAAUAUUUAAGAUAUAGCCAAUUUUGGCUUUGCAGCUGCCAUAUCUAGAGGAAAUUGCGCAGUUCUGCCUCCAGAGCAGUAUUCAUGACAAACGUCAAGCUGCGACUGGAAGAGGGAAUGUAAAAUCGAUAAUGAAAUUGUUUUGACAAUUAACAUACUUUUUAUUAUGAAAAGUACAAUAUAUCCAUGUACACAUCAGAUAGUUGCUCUUUCUCUGCUACCUCAUUCUAUUUCUCUAGUCUAGUAUUCCCUGGUUAUGUUCCUCGUCUUCCUCCUCUAUUUCCUCACCUCUUCCUCAGACUCUUCUUUUUCUUUUCCUCCUCCUUACUUUCUCCAACAUUUUCCAUCUGUUGCAUCUUACUGGCCUUUUCUUGCUUCUCUACUUUUUUGGCUUUUUUGGACAAGGAGAUAAAGUAAUGUAAGCUUAUGGGUUCUCUUCUCUUGAGCUACUAUAUCUAGAGCUAUGCUAUACUGUAGGAGGAUAUAUGGCCAAUAUACCCUUCUUGUAUUUCCUCCCACCUGUGGGGCCACUCCUGCCAUUUCCUGGAGCCGCUUCCUGCCGGUCUGGCUCAGGUUGGUGAUGGGGGCCAGGUGAGGCAUUUGGCGUUAUGGGAAGUUCUCUGUAGCGGACGGAGUGAUAAUGACAGGGCUGAGAGGAGUCCGAGGCCUUGGGACAUUCUCUGGGGAGGGAGGGGCCACAGCAGAGGGCAGGGCCACAGCAGAGGGCAGGGCCCGUAGGGCUUCAGCCAGGGUCCGGGGUGCUGAGGUCACAAGAGGAGAGAGGCCAGUGUUGCCAGACACAGGACCAGAGACCUUCCCUGGGCUCUGUAGGACCAGAAAGUAAAGUAAAAUAUCAGGACAAUGCUACGUUAAAAACAAUCUGUAGAUAUACUUUAUAACUAAACUAUACACAUUGCAGAUACAUGACUACACUCAAUAAGUAGGAGUAACUUACAAAGCUCUGGACAUUGUUAUUUUUUUCAGGCUUGAGGAGACUGUUCUCGGCUAUACUGGUUUGCAUUUCUGCCAUGCUGUCUAUAUUUUCGGCCAUCUCUCCAGUGCAUUUCUUGAAUGCCACUUUCAACCUCCAAGUCAUUCAGCCAACUGUCCAGGUCUACUGCCUUAAGAUCACCUUCGCUGCAGUUUCUCUUCAUCUCUUGGAUCAGUGCCCUCACCUCCUCGCCCAUCCUCUUGAGCUCCCUAGCCACGUCUUCGUCCCUCAGUCUCUCCUUCCUCCUCCCCAUCCACUUCGCAAUCCAUCCUCUACAGCAUCCCUCAUUCUUCUUCUGCCUCUCUUGGUUGAUGUCCUGACCGUCAUUGUGCGUCUCCAGGCCUUCCUCCAGGUUGAGUUCUAUUGAGGUCAGGUUUUCUUUGAUCCGCCUCAGGCUCUCCUCUUUGAUGUUGGUCCACUCUGUCUGCUUGUCCAGCUGCUGCCUGCAGGGCCGGACAGUGGGGACCACCUCCAUCUGGCAUGACACCUUCUUCAGGGCACUCACAGAGGCAGGGAGGAGGAUGUUGAACUUGGCCACAAUAAUAUCUACAGACAUAGGGUCAAACCGUUGAGAUGUGACACACACACAAAUUUAAAAGAUGCCUACCAGUCGAUGGUCCUUCAGUGGUCCUUGUGGUUCAUUUGGAGGCUCUGGACUGUCCUCAGAAGAGGCAUCAUUGCCAUCAUCAAGCUGUGCGUCAGAGAGCUAGCUGGUCAUAGUCCAUUCUCCACAUUCACUGAGAGUUACUCAAAAAUGUGUGUGGGGGGAGGAGAUAGACAGAUCAUCCUCAUCCAUAUCCCUCACUUCAAGCUUUGUCACCUUUCCAUCCUCAACUUUCAGUGGUGGUGUCCUCCUUUCAUGAUCCUCAUCAUCACACUGUGUAUCAGAGUCAACUAGUCAGAGACCAUCCUCCUCACAGUGAUGUCACUCAACAAAGACAUGGACGGUAGGGUACAACUCUUUUACCUCCGAUUCACAGUCAGUGAAGGAGUAGAUGGAAAAGUCAUCAGAACUGCAGGAUGAGGUCACAUCAUAUUUUCCCUCCAUCAGCCGAGUCACCCUUCCAGACUGAGGAGACAGAGAAAGGCAUGUACUCAUGGCAGCCAUAGAAUACACUGGCAUUGACCCUCAAGGAAAUGUAGAAUAUGUAGACAAUCCAACAUGGUUGUACAAGUAGUGAGUAAUACAUGGGUAACUGAAAAUGCAAUAAAUGCAACUCCCAUAACAUUAGGGGUGGGUCUAAAGACCUUCCAUAGUAUAGGAUUCUUUAGCAUCUCGAAUGGAUGAUUGUCAAUUCAACCAAGCCACCCAAAAUGGCCAUAUGAAUCAACAGAUUGAUCUAUCUGUUGUGUCUCUAUGGGAACAGCAGAGAUGACCUGGCUGAGAGGCUCUGGAUUGAUGCUCCAUCCAUCCCCAGAUGUUUGGUCCUGCCCACGGCUCACAAUGAUUGGCUGUAAACAGUAAAGAAGGAAUUAAAGACUGCUUUCCUCAUUGCAGAAUGCAUAACUAAUGUGCAUGUGUUAUUGAUUUCAGUUCGGAUAUGACUUAAAGGCUUUGUUCUUCUGUGCAUCUUGCUGGUUGGCCACAUCACAGAAUCAGGGAUGCUAACCCUCACUGGAUUCAACCGUCAACACAUCACUCAAUUUAAAAGGUGAUAAUAUAACAAAGACAGGACAGAUAUGUAUUGUAUAUUUACCACAUAAGGGUGGAGUCUUUAAGCUCUUUUGAUUCUCUCAUUAUUACGAUCCAUUGCUUUCUGAGGGAAACAUUUCCAACAAUAUUGGAUAUAUAUGUAUAUGUGUGAGUGUGUGUAUAUACACAGCUUUGGAUAACAUUAAGAGACCACUGCAAAAUGAUCAGUUUCUCUGGUUUUACUAUUUAUCGGUUUGUGUUUGGGUAAAAUUAACAUUUUUGUUUUCUUCUAUAAACUGCUGACAAAACUUCUCCCAAAUUCCAAAUAAAAAUAUUGUCAUUUAGAGCAUUUAUUUGCAGAAAAUGACAACUAAUCAAAAUAACAAAAAAGAUGCAGUUGUCAGACCUCGAAUAAUACUAAUAUUUUAACUUAGGAAGAGUUCUGAAAUCAAUAUUUGGUGGAUUAACCCUGAUUUUCAAUCACAGCUUUCAUGCGUCUUGGCAUGCUCUCCACCAGUCUUUUACGUUGGUGUUGGGUGACUUGAUGCCAUCCUGGCGCAAAACUUCAAGCAGCUCGGCUUUGUUUGAUAGCUUGUGACCAUCCAUCUUCCUCUUGAUCACAUUCCAGAGGUUUUCAAUGGGGUUCAGGUCUGGAGAUUGGGCUGGCCAUGACAGGGUCUUCAUCUGGUGGUCCUCCAUCCACACCUUGAUUGACUUAGCUGUGUGGCAUGGAGCAUUGUCCUACUGGAAAAAGCAAUCCUCAGAGUUGGGGAACAUUGUCAGAGCAGAAGGAAGACCUCUUUUUGCAGGUCAUUUGAUAUCAUCCUACAGUUGUUGAGUGACAUUCGAAUGAGUUGGCAGUCAUCCCAGUCAGUGGAGAGUCGUUUUCACCCUCUGCCAGUCUGUAGCUUUGUUGUCCCCAAUGUCUGCUGCUUGGCCUUUUACCUUUAUUUAACUUGGCAAGUCAGUUAAGAACAAAUUCUUAUUUUCAAUGACAGCCUAGGAACAGAUUUUUACCUUGUCAGCUCAGUAAUUCAAUCUUGUAACCUUCCGGUUACUAGUCCAACGCUCUAACCACUAGGCUACCUGCAGCCCCUAUGAACCACUGUCUUUUAAAUUUUAAGGAUAGAAGCAAUCUGACGCUCACUGUAUCCCUCUGCCAGUAAAGCCAGAAUUGAACCCUUCUUUUCCUCACUCAAAACUUUCCUUUUCAACUCUUUUGACAUGGUCAAUAGUUAUUGUUAGCUUCCAAUUACUUUUGAGGUACUACUAGCACUGUGUUUGCCAUCCAGCUGUUCCUAUUGCAAGAGGAUAGUGAUGACCACAGCAGUGGUUUUUAUACUUUUCCUCGUUAAAUAAGAUUUGGUUUAGGUGAUCACCUGAUCAGUACCUCAUUCAGUAGAAUGAGGCACCUCAUUCAGUAGAAUGAGGUGUGCCUGUGUUGGAAAUCAACAGACACUGGAAUGGAAUGGCUGCCAUACAUGUAGAGAUGCUGAUUUAAGAAACAUUUGCAGUGGUUUCUUUAAUUUUUUUACAUAGUUGUGUGUGUAUAUGUGGUACCCUGUAUAUAUUAUACAGGUUGGGAAGGCUGUGCACCACAAGGCCAAAGGUUACCUGCAACAACCUGAAUGAAGAAAGAGAUUGUACAGAUGAAAUCAAAUCUGAACACAGUUUAUGUAGUGAAUUAAUGCUUGGUUACAUCAUAAUACGUCACAGCUUCAUGACUGUGCAUAAUACAUCGCAAGAAAAAGGCUUGUUUGGAGCCUAACUGGUGGUAUUGUCUUCUCACUGGUUGUAGCUAGCUGAAUAAUGAAAUUAUGUGCAUAUUUCCUACUAACUGAGUAAUGAUUGUAUCGAUGUUUGGUUGGACGUUUUACAGAUAGGCCAAGAGGAUAUCAAUAGGAAGAAACCAUUCCUUGCCAUUUUUGUUUUCAUUUUGCACAUUGAGUAACCAGCAUUAAGGGACCACAAUGGAAGUCGUUGACUUUAUUGUGUUGUCCCUGACACGUUUUAUUUUAUUAAACUGUUUUAUUAUUUUACUAAACUGUCAAAUAUAGCUAUCAAACUCAAAUGGGCUAAUGAGGACUCUGAUCAUCACAUUUCAGGCACAAGCCAGCAGGUGGCAGUGUCUUUAAAUGCAGCACUGCCUUAGUGCACUUCAUGAUCUGCGCAUUAAAUAACUUUGGUUGUGAAGGUGAUUAAUAAAAAUAAAUAAAAAGAAUGUGAUUAAUCCAAAUGCGGAAGUCCAUUACAUUUGCUUUGGUUUAGCUAUCUAUCAACUCCCUCCCUGUCUUAGCUAAAGUGCUGUGCAAUAUUGGAGGACAGGCGUGGUAACUGAAAUGUUUGUAUUGUGCUUGAUUAUCCACUGGUAUCAGUUUGACAAAUAUGUACUGAGCAUCAAAUCUGUUUUGAAAGAUGUUGUGGUGGAAGAAUUUGGGGUGAGCUGUUGUAACUUCUCAAGGGAUAUGUUCUGUGUUGGACUGUGAUGUUUUGCGUUUCAUAGACUACUUGUAUGUCUGCACCCUAACACAAGGCCAUUGUGUUCCAGAACUAUUGAUGUAUAGAAGAACUGUUGUGUAAACAAUAUGAUUGUAUUAUCACCUCCCACUAUAUAAGGGACAUGUAACCAUUUCUUCCUUGCUGUGAAAUUAGAGGUGGAUCUCCUCUGCAGCUGCUUGUAUUAAAUAUGUUUAUUAUAUAUUUAAA